CCUACGGGGUGCUGCAGUGGGGGAUAUUGCACAAUGGGGGGAACCCUGAUGCAGCGACGCCGCGUGGGUGAAGAAGCGCCUCGGCGCGUAAAGCCCUGUCAGCAGGGAAGAAAAUGACGGUACCUGAAGAAGAAGCCCCGGCUAACUACGUGCCAGCAGCCGCGGUAAUACGUAGGGGGCAAGCGUUAUCCGGAUUUACUGGGUGGAAAGGGGGCGCAGACGGCGAUGCAAGCCAGGAGUGAAAGCCCGGGGCCCAACCCCGGGACUGCUCUUGGAACUGCGUGGCUGGAGUGCAGGAGGGGCAGGCGGAAUUCCUGGUGUAGCGGUGAAAUGCGUAGAUAUCAGGAGGAACACCGGUGGCGAAGGCGGCCUGCUGGACUGCAACUGACGUUGAGGCCCGAAAGCGUGGGGAGCAAACAGGAUUAGAUACCCUGGUAGUC
rnacentral:rRNA from 1 species